UGGGCUGUCGUCUAACGGUAGGACGUCUGACUCUGGAUCAGAAAGUUGAGGUUCGAAUCCUUGCAGCCCAGCCG
rnacentral:tRNA from 1 species